UAGGGAAUCUUCGGCAAUGGACGGAAGUCUGACCGAGCAACGCCGCGUGAGUGAAGAAGGUUUUCGGAUCGUAAAGCUCUGUUGUAAGAGAAGAACGAGUGUGAGAGUGGAAAGUUCACACUGUGACGGUAUCUUACCAGAAAGGGACGGCUAACUACGUGCCAGCAGCCGCGGUAAUACGUAGGUCCCGAGCGUUGUCCGGAUUUAUUGGGCGUAAAGCGAGCGCAGGCGGUUAGAUAAGUCUGAAGUUAAGGGCUGUGGCUUAACCAUAGUAGGCUUUGGAAACUGUUUAACUUGAGUGCAAGAGGGGAGAGUGAAAUUCCAUGUGUAGCGGUGAAAUGCGUAGAUAUAUGGAGGAACACCGGUGGCGAAAGCGGCUCUCUGGCUUGUAACUGACGCUGAGGCUCGAAAGCGUGGGGAGCAAACAGGAUUAGAUACCCUGGUAGUCCACGCUGUAAACGAUGAGUGCUAGGUGUUAGACCCUUUCCGGGGUUUAGUGCCGUAGCUAACGCAUUAAGCACUCCGCCUGGGGAGUACGACCGCAAGGUUG
rnacentral:rRNA from 1 species